rnacentral:rRNA from 1 species
UACGUAGGCAGCGAGCGUUGUUCGGAAUUACUGGGCGUAAAGAGUGUGUAGGCGGUGCUCUAAGUUCGGUGUGAAAUCUCCCGGCUUAACUGGGAGGGUGCGCCGGAAACUGGAAUGCUCGAACGUGGGAGAGGAAAGCGGAAUUCCUGGUGUAGCGGUGAAAUGCGUAGAGAUCGGGAGGAACACCAGAGGCGAAGGCGGCGACCUGGACAGAUACUGACACUCAACUACGAAAGCGUGGGGAGCAAACAGG